rnacentral:pre_miRNA from 1 species
UAAAGUGGUGUAGUGAUGUAGUGUUGUUUGUAAAGUGGUGAACUUUACAACAACACUACAAACUACACCACUUUACAAACAACACUACACUACUACACCACUUUAC